rnacentral:rRNA from 1 species
UUAUUAAAUUCUUAACAGCAUAUCAAACCCAUCAUCAGUAUUGAAUGAUUUCAUAAAUUAUGAAAGCCACCAUGCUAGAACUAGUAACAAGAAAACGAAUUUCUCCAAAGUGUAAGCAAAAACCAAGAUGGACCAUCCAUUGGUAAUCAACGAUCUGAGUAAACUAUAGCAACCAACCAAGAAAACCCUAUAUACUACCCCGUUAGCCUAACACAAGAACACUUAUGGAAAGAUUAAAAGGAGAAGAAGGAACUCGGCAAACUUUAGCCCCGCCUGUUUACCAAAAACAUCGCCUCUUGUUUAAGUAUAAGAGGUCCAGCCUGCCCAGUGACAAUUUAUUCAACGGCCGCGUAAUUUAAAGCGCGCAAAGGUAGCGUAAUCACUUGUUCUUUAAAUGAGGACUAGAAUCAACGGCAUCACGAGGGCUAUACUGUCUCCUUCCCCCAAUCAGUGAAACUAAUCUUCCUGUGAAAAAGCAGGAAUACUCUUAUAAGACGAGAAGACCCCAUGGAGCUUUAAACACAACAGCAUCUUUAAAAUCUUUUAUAUCUACCUUAUUAACCUGAAAGCAUUGUGUGUUAGUUUUAGGUUGGGGCGACCGCGGAGAAUAGUAAAACCUCCAUAACGAAAGGGAAUAAACCCUUACUUAAGAAAAACAUUUCUACAAAUUAUUAAUAUAACGUUUAAUGACCCGAUUAUCGAUUAACGAACCAAGUUACCCUGGGGAUAACAGCGCAAUCCAUUUUGAGAGCUCAUAUUGACAAAUGGGUUUACGACCUCGAUGUUGGAUCAGGGUAUCCCAGUGGUGCAGCCGCUACUAAAGGUUUGUUUGUUCAACAAUUAAAACCCUACGUGAUCU